AUUGAACGCUGGCGGCAUGCUUUACACAUGCAAGUCGAACGGUAACAGGUUAAGCUGACGAGUGGCGAACGGGUGAGUAAUGCAUCGGAACGUGCCCGAUCGUGGGGGAUAACGCAGCGAAGGCUACGCUAAUACCGCAUACGAUCUGAGGAUGAAAGCGGGGGACCGUAAGGCCUCGCGCGAUCGGAGCGGCCGAUGUCAGAUUAGGUAGUUGGUGGGGUAAAGGCUCACCAAGCCGACGAUCUGCAGCUGGUCUGAGAGGACGACCAGCCACACUGGGACUGAGACACGGCCCAGACUCCUACGGGAGGCAGCAGUGGGGAAUUUUGGACAAUGGGCGAAAGCCUGAUCCAGCAAUGCCGCGUGCAGGAUGAAGGCCUUCGGGUUGUAAACUGCUUUUGUACGGAACGAAACGGUGAGCUCUAAUACAGUUUGCUAAUGACGGUACCGUAAGAAUAAGCACCGGCUAACUACGUGCCAGCAGCCGCAGUAA
rnacentral:rRNA from 1 species